ensembl:lncRNA
GCCGGAGCGAAUAACUAAUAGCCGCGGCUAUUAGGUAUGCAAAAACCGUACGGAAUCCGUAGGGAAUCCGUACGGGAAUUCCUGCCAAACCGCACGGAUUCGGUACGGAAUGUAUUCCAUAGGGUUUCUGUACGGUUUCCGUGCGGUUUAGCACUUUUACCGCAUUCUAGGGCCAGUUUGUGGCCUUCUUGGCUUUCCAUACCACAUGUCCCACAGAGCAGCCAUGACGCUUCGCUGAAUUACCCAGCUGAUGACUUCUGUAUUUACUGGGCACUUUCGUGAACUUUUGGACGUGCACUCGUGUUGUUUUGACUCCAAGAUAAACGUGGCCUCAUUAUAAAUCAACGUCACCUGGACUCCGCGAUAGACCAUGACGAGAUAUGAUGCAUCAAUCGUUCAAUGUGAAAACAAACCCGAACAAACUGGCGCUCUGGUUUGAAACUCGAGCAGAAAGAAGAAGAGCACCAGACUGUGAUCCACUCACUGGAGUCCCCGAUCACCACCACGCUCCUGUUGUGCAGCAGCUGGGCCGCGGUCUGAUGGCCGACGGACGCCAUGGCCUCAUAACUCUUUUUGGAUUGGAAAACUAAAUGUCAACAUCGAUGAAUGGGAAUGCUGAGGACUUCUGUGUGGUGUGCUCCUUUGCCGAAUAAAAUGCAGAUGAGAGCAUGAUUGAAAAGUUGCAGUGUGGAUUAUGCAGUCGAUGGGCACAUUUUGAGUGUGCCCAAUAUGCCCAUGAAAAUAAGGCUGUAUAUAUUUGAAAGAAAUGCAUAAAAAUAAAAUAAAGAUUUGAG